rnacentral:rRNA from 1 species
GAUGAACGCUGGCGGCGUGCCUAAUACAUGCAAGUCGAGCGAAGCGGGGACGGGUGAGUAACACGUGGAUAACCUCCUAUAAGACUGGGAUACCUUCGGGAAACCGGAGCUCAACCGGGUACUUAUGGUUGGAUCCGCGCUGCAUUAGCUAGUUGGUAGGGUAACGGCUGACCAGGGCAACGAUGAAUCGCCGUCCUGAGAGGGGGAUCGGCCACACUGGAACUGAGACACGGUCCAGACUCCUACGGGAGGCAGCAGUGGGGAAUCUUCCGCAAUGGGCGAAAGCCUGACGGAGCAACGCCGCGUGAGUGAGGAAGGUCUUCGGAUCGUAAAACUCUGUUAUUAGGGAAGCGGUACCUAAACAGAAAGCCACGGCUAACUACGUGCCAGCAGCCGCGGUAAUAC